UACGGAGGGUGCGAGCGUUGUUCGGAAUCACUGGGCGUAAAGCGCGUGUAGGCGGCCCACUAAGUCUGAUGUGAAAGCCCGAGGCUCACCCUCGGAAGCGCAUUGGAAACUGGUGGACUCGAGUCCCGGAGAGGAGAGUGGAAUUCCUGGUGUAGCGGUGAAAUGCGUAGAUAUCAGGAGGAACACCGGUGGCGAAGGCGGCUCUCUGGACGGUGACUGACGCUGAGACGCGAAAGCGUGGGGAGCAAACAGG
rnacentral:rRNA from 1 species